rnacentral:tRNA from 1 species
UAGCUUAUUAUAAUUUUUUUUUGUAUAAAUAAUUUUGAAUUAUUU